UUGGAGAACUUGGAAUGCUGAAUGCCUCAUUUUAUUGAUCAAGGUAACACGAAUCCCAAAUCGACAUUAAAUAAAUAGGAAGUAAAGCUACUAAUAGCCACUGGACUUGUUACAUUUUAAAGCAAAGAAGAUAAAUUCCUAUCUUCUUGGUCCCAGAAGGACCUUCCCUAGAUUCGGCAUCCUUGGCUCCUUCGAACAGCUUUCCCAACUCAUGAAGUCCCAACAACAGGUAUGCUCUGGCUAGAUAUCCACCUUCAGCCCCUUUAGCCUCUUGACAAUCUUCAACCCUUUUGAGAAACUUUCUUUCUAGUUCCACUAUUCCUCGCUCCAAGUAUCCAGUCUUUUGUUGGCGUUGGUAGCCAUGUCUUUUGAUUACUCGAUCAGCUUCUGGUUAGACUCUUGUACUUCACGAUGUUCAUUUUCGCACUCGCAGAUCCCUUUGUGAAACUAAUUGUACUUGACUUACGUUUCGGCCUUCUCUUCUAUAAUCAUGUAGCCUCCAACAAACCUCGACUGGCCCAAACCAUCAUGGUUGUCUUCCAACCAACCUAAAUAUAAAGGAGUACAAUUGGCGUGGUAUCUGUCUGGCUCUAUGGUGUCUCUUCUCAUUACAAUGUUUCUAUGCCACAUGUGUUGGGCUUGGCACUUAUAAGGACUAUCAUCGCCUUGAAAGUCAGAUGAAAGUGGCUCAUCUUGUCUACCUUGGGUAUGAAUUGCUUCUACCAGCUUGCCUCAUAGCUUGUAGAGGGACGUAAGGGUAUGUUCCCCUAAGACCAAUUAGUAUCAGGAAAGGUGCAUCUCAGGAUCGAGCGAUGAAUUCCUCUGUCAAAAACCAUUCGAACAUCCACUGAACUUGUUCCUCGAUUAGAUUAUCAAAUAACUCAACCCAUCCUUUAGCAUCCUUAGGCUGAGCGAACAUGCCAAGGAUGUAAUUCGUUCUCUUUGGAUGAUGUGAAGCGAUGUGAUCAUCCCAGUCCCUAUGCUGAAUUUCUGAUCGAUAUUCGCCCUUUUGGAGAUGCUCUAUAAGCCAAAGUUGAAGUAGCAGAUUGUAGCCUUCAAAGUGUUUUGCUCCUUAUUGGCACUUUUCUAUGGCUCGGUAUAUGUCUACAAUAGUCAUGGGUACAAUGCUGAAUGACUGUCCACCAAUUCCCUCCAUUAGGGUUUUGGUUACCAUAGCCAGCCUAGUAUGAAUUCUACCUUUCUUCAUUAGAAAUACAAUCAAACCCAUGAAGCAAAAUAUGAAGAAGAAAACCAUGUGAUGGACGUAUCCCAAGGAAGUAAUGAAAAACUCGCCAGAGUAGGUACGGUAAGAUUUGAUAUGACUGUACGUUUCAUACAAGUAGUCAAAAGGGGUGUAUGAAUCCUUCAGGCAUUCUAACUCUAGAUUCUUUUUCAAACUCAUCAUUUAAGGAAGCCCCUACCUUUGUGAUCUCAGGCAUUAGCAAGCCCAUAGUUUCCCAUACUAGACCAGCCAAUAUUCCUAUUUCCUCCAGCAAAGGUGUCAUUUCAUUGCCCCAAAGCAAAAAUCGACCCUUUCACAACCAAAAAUAAUGUGGCAGCUUGUAUGAUCGUGUUAUUAGGUUGGACCUCCAAACGGGAUGGUAGAUUUUCCAGAUAUUUUAUGACGAUAUUUUGAUCACUAGAGUGUAAAUCUUUUCACCAGCUUAGCAACUUUGGGAACAUGUUAGUGACCAUGCCGAAUUUGGGGACUUCUUGCCUCAUAUUUCUGCAAGGCAAAUAGGGUUAGACCCUUCCCCCACCAGAUUAGACUAUAUAAUGAUUAGCAUGAAGCAUCUAGUUCUUUUUCAGGACCCAAUUUAGGAUAAUGAG
rnacentral:lncRNA from 1 species